rnacentral:lncRNA from 1 species
UUUGGACCAAUCUACCGCCGCUGUGUAGAUCCACCUCCGCCAACCCUCGCCGCCGCUGCAGAGGAGGUGCCGACCUCCGACGCCCGACGCCAGCAGUCGCUCGCCGUUCGACGCCAGCAGCCACUGCCGUCUCGAAGUCCGAUUUGAGGCCCACCGCAGUCCUCCAGUCCGGCGAGAUCGCGCUUCCAGCAAGGCCUUCCGACUCUUUACGAAAGAUCAGCGUCCAGAUCCGCCGCCCUGAGGUCUUUGCCGGCCACGUCCUCUUAGCCGAAGCCCUCCCAUACCGCGCAUAGUAUCAGCCAGAUCCGCCCACAGAUCCGCCGCCCAGAAGUAGUCUGCCUUCGACUCCAGAUCGGCGACACCUUUCUCCGGCGAAACUUGCAGUAGAUACCUUCGACUCCAGACCAGCGAGACUAUCCACUACGGCGAGACCACGCCUCCAGGCCCAACGCAGCCCUCAAGUCCGGCGAGAACGUGCAUCCAGCCAGGCCUUUUGACUCUUUAUGAAAGAUCAGCGUCCAGAUCCGCAAGUCAGCCCUUCCUAUUCAAAAGCUAAGUUCUACUUCCUUAUCUCCGGUGAUGUGCAGUUGAUAUGGAUGCGAACUGAAUUUAGUACUUGAGACAACAAAUUACCUUGAAGGUUUUCAAGCAGAUGGGUUGUUGUUGGGGUUGAAUGUAUUGUAGGAUAAUUGUAAUGAAUUGAAUGUGCC